rnacentral:rRNA from 1 species
ACGGGUGAGUAAUGUCUGGGAAACUGCCUGAUGGAGGGGGAUAACUACUGGAAACGGUAGCUAAUACCGCAUGACCUCGAAAGAGCAAAGUGGGGGACCUUCGGGCCUCACGCCAUCGGAUGUGCCCAGAUGGGAUUAGCUAGUAGGUGAGGUAAUGGCUCACCUAGGCGACGAUCCCUAGCUGGUCUGAGAGGAUGACCAGCCACACUGGAACUGAGACACGGUCCAGACUCCUACGGGAGGCAGCAGUGGGGAAUAUUGCACAAUGGGCGCAAGCCUGAUGCAGCCAUGCCGCGUGUGUGAAGAAGGCCUUCGGGUUGUAAAGCACUUUCAGCGAGGAGGAAGGCAUUAAGGUUAAUAACCUUAGUGAUUGACGUUACUCGCAGAAGAAGCACCGGCUAACUCCGUGCCAGCAGCCGCGGUAAUACGGAGGGUGCAAGCGUUAAUCGGAAUUACUGGGCGUAAAGCGCACGCAGGCGGUUUGUUAAGUCAGAUGUGAAAUCCCCGAGCUUAACUUGGGAACUGCAUUUGAAACUGGCAAGCUAGAGUCUUGUAGAGGGGGGUAGAAUUCCAGGUGU